rnacentral:tRNA from 1 species
GCUGGUGUAGCUCAGUUGGUAGAGCCCUAGUCUUGUAAACUAGUUGUCGCCGGUUCGAGCCCGGCCACCAGCUCCA